rnacentral:rRNA from 1 species
GAUGAACGCUGGCGGCGUGCUUAACACAUGCAAGUCGAACGGAGUUUUACUUAUUGAAGAAUUUAGCUUGCUAUUGACUGAUAUUUGUAAAACUUAGUGGCGGACGGGUGAGUAACGCGUGGGUAACCUGCCGUAUACAGGGGGACAACAGUUGGAAACGACUGCUAAUACCGCAUAAGCGCACAGCAUCGCAUGAUGCAGUGUGAAAAACUCCGGUGGUAUACGAUGGACCCGCGUCUGAUUAGCUAGUUGGUGAGGUAACGGCCCACCAAGGCGACGAUCAGUAGCCGGCCUGAGAGGGUGAACGGCCACAUUGGGACUGAGACACGGCCCAAACUCCUACGGGGAGGCAGCAGUGGGGAAUAUUGCACAAUGGGGGAAACCCUGAUGCAGCGACGCCGCGUGAGUGAAGAAGUAUUUCGGGUAUGUAAAGCUCUAUCAGCAGGGAAGAAAAUGACGGUACCUGACUAAGAAGCCCCGGCUAACUACGUGCCAG